rnacentral:lncRNA from 1 species
AAAUUUAUAAUCAUACUCCAAAGUUGAUUUAGAAAAGAUAAAAUUGAAGAAUAUUGACCUUAAGAUAAUUGCCCUUCUGGAAAAGAAAGGGGGAGUCAAAAAGAAUCUAGCUUUCAAUUAUCCUCAGCAUCAAUACUUCAUUUUAACUUGAUUCAAAUUCAGUUGAUAUGCUAAAAUCAUUUAAGAACUAUAAAGAUCAAUCUUAUGCACAAGGAAAGAACUGAAAAUUGAAUACUUUGAGUGAUGCACAUUGUAUCUAAUUCUAAUCAAAACAUUAUACUUGUACAUCUGAUCAACACUGUGUAUAUGUUUAAAUCUCAAAUUUUGCAUAUACUCAGUGUUUUGUCAUCAUCAAAAAGGGGGAGAUUGUUGACCCCCUAAUAGAUUUUGAUGAAUACAAAACACUAGAGUAAAAUUCCAUUAUAUCUUAA